CCGCGGUCGCGGGGUGCGCUCUCCGUGGCGCCUCCUGGUGGCCCUGCCUGCAGCUGCCGCCCCCAGGCCGCCCGUCCCGCCCGGGGACAGGAGCGCACGACCGGCCGCUCUCCACUCCCUGCUCCCGCCCCUCUGCGGCCGAUGACAGCGGGUUCCAGCGACACGACGGAUUCCCACGGGCGCUCCAGGUCGGUGCAAGGGGUCCGCGCUGACGAGGCGCGAGCACAGCCGUGGGGGGACCCGCGUGGGCUGUCGUCGGCCGACGGUCCUGGCGGUUCCUCGGCCCCAGGCUGGCAGGCACAGUCCGCGGCGUGACAGUCCUGACCGCGGAGCCGUGUGCUAUGAAAGCCACACGGUCACCACGAGCGACGGGUGAGAACAAAGAGCGCGGGGAGCGCUGAUCACACGACGCAGAUGCCAAUUCCUGCAUCACCGUGGAUGCUUCUACAACAAAGGGUGAUGUCUUGAAGCCGUAACUGCUCAGGACGACGAUGGCAAUUAUUCUGCUUCCCAAACCCAGCAGUCUCAGGUGUACCAGGAAGACUGUACAUGCCCUCGCAGAGUGAAAGAAGGCUUUGUCAACCCGGAGGGGAUUCCCACUUAGUGCAGACAACCAUUGCUCUUAGGCACGAGUUGCUGCUCAGAGCCCCUCAGGGAGGCAAUGCUGAGCCAACCUAGAGCCAAGCCCCUGGGCCUCGCUCUAGAUGCCAGCAGCUGGGCCGAUGAGCAGAACGAUGAGCCAUUCAGCCCUAAAGGGCAGUGACCACGUGAAGACCAGAUCCAUGACUCAGAGGCUGAACUUUGUUAAAAACAAACAACAACAGUGGCCACUACGGAUGACUUUGACAGCGCCAGGAACAGGAAGCAGAGUGGCAGCCACAGGGAUGAAACCCUGACAGCUAAGCUGUUCCUGCAGCAGGAGCCUGAUUCGGGCAGAUUAACUCUUGCUCUCUGUGAAACAUCUCAGGGGACUUGUUCCAGAGUGGAGCAGUGGAAAAUCUCUCAGCCCAGGGAGAGAGCGAGUGACCCUACUUACAGGUGAGUGCUGGAGAACGAAGGAGACUCUGCUGGAAUUGGAAUUCCAGGAAAUUCAAUAGAAGGACCCUUGAGCAAACAGAGUCCAAUCGUGAGCUGGAAUAAGAACUUGGAAGUCACAGCACCUUGAUGUCACCACACCUGAGGUGACUCCAGAAUACACAGCAAAGAGAAAGAGAACAAGCCGGGGAGGGGAGAGCAAACAUGUCAAGAGACCCCCUCGAUGUGGAGCAGUCAAGAGGAAGGGGAGGCCAGAGACUGUCAACUGGCUGCUGCACAAAGCACGUAUCGCCUGAUGGGCAGCUGCUGUCACCCUCCUCUGCCACCUGUUGACUUUUUGGGGUGUCAUGCACCUGAUGGCACAAAAGUACUCUGUAUGUAUCAGUCACUGCCUCAAACGUGAAUGAAUUCUAUUUUCCUGCCCAUGGAAAUACGUGUCACUAAUCUUCCAAAGAACUUUACAUUUCCCAGCUCCUGUGUCUAACUUAUGAAUCUGCUGUUAGUCGUUACCCACAACUUGAGAAAUGUCACCUUAAUCUAACUUCAGGAGAUAUUUAUCUAUGUCACUAAGGACUUGACUUGAAUUCUCAUAAAUGGUGGGGAAAUGUAUAUAGAUAUGGGGAUAUAUAUAUAUAGCAGGAUACCAGAGAGAAUAUACAGUGUGUAAUAUUAAUUAUGAAAAAAAUGCCCAGGAAAAAAAAAGAUUGGAAGGAUUUUAACCAAAAUGUUUACAGGGGAUAUAUUCAUUUUCUUCUUUAUGUUUAAUACAUAUCUGUAGUUUCCAAAUUUUUGAAGUGAAUAGAUUAUUUUACAAUUUCUCUCUAAAUACAAUUUAGAUAUAGUUUUUAAAGAAACAGAGAAACUCCCCAGAGCUGCAGGAGCUGCUUCUCCGGUCUCAGCAAGACUAGCCGCCAAAAGCACCUCUCUCUGGGCCAGGAGUGGGUAGGAGGUUUGUGGGACUGCAAUGGCUGUCUGUUACUCCAAUGGGGGCCUGAGGCCAUGGUGAGCAGAAGAAAGGUGUGAUGUCAAUUCAGGUCAUCCUAAACUAUACUUUAAUUUCAUAACAAAUUAUAAAUAUAGAGUUUUUCAUAAACACUUUCUUAUCCAUUUCAAAGCAAGUGUUAAAAUAUUAAGAUAACUUAGGUUUUAUUCUCUUCUUCUAUACAUUAUUAGUACCAGUUAUACUGUCAAUUCAAUUCAGCAAAACAGACUAAUCAAGAGCAAAGGCCAUGGCAAGUUUUUAGGGAUGCUCAAGGCAUUUUGCUAUUCACUGCUUACUAUUUACAAAAUGGUUUAAAGGAAUGCAAAGAUGAACUUUAAUCCAGUGGAAGGGAAAUACAAGUACAUAAAUAACAAUAUCACAGGUUAGCAUAUACAAUAAAUCCACCAAAAGGCAAUAAAAAUGCUAUAAUGCUCAUAAUAA